GACGAACGCUGGCGGCGUGCCUAAUACAUGCAAGUCGAACGCAGUGGGGACGGGUGAGUAACACGUGGGUAACCUCCCAUCAGAGGGGAUAACACUUGGAAACAGGUGCUAAACCGAUACUGAUGGAUGGACCCGCGGUGCAUUAGCUAGUUGGUGAGGUAACGGCUCACCAAGGCCACGAUGCAUAGCCGACCUGAGAGGGUGAUCGGCCACACUGGGACUGAGACACGGCCCAGACUCCUACGGGAGGCAGCAGUAGGGAAUCUUCGGCAAUGGGCGCAAGCCUGAUGCAGCCAUGCCGCGUGUAUGAAGAAGGCUUUCGGGUUGUAAAGUACUUUCAGCGGGGAGGCGUUACCCGCAGAAGAAGCACCGGCUAACUACGUGCCAGCAGCCGCGGUAAUAG
rnacentral:rRNA from 1 species